GAAUAUGUCAUAUCUUGGCCCGCCGAUGGACCUGAUUACAUUACUCAAGGAUCUGGUGCUGCAUGGGUCUUGCUGAUUAAUUCCAAGACACUCAACAGACAGGUUCAGCCUUCUGGAUCUAAACUAAAUGAAUGUGAGGUAUUGGAAAAUCGGAACAGUGGGAAAUCAAGGCAGCUCAGACUUAAUCCAGGCCAAUGAACUUGGAUGAAUACUACAAUGGACUUGCUGUUUCAAAAACAAGAUAUUCCACUUUAAGUCUGCAUGGUGGAAAGGGUACAAGAAGGACAGGUGAAUAAGAUGCCAACAGAGACUUCAGAUAAAUCAGGACCCUCUUCCUAAGAAUGACCAGAAUGUACCUAAACGCUACUUGAC